CUGACUCUGUCAGUGGUUUUUGUACUACUGCAUUUUAAUUUUCCUAUUAAGUUGUAGUUUUUUUAUUUAUACAAAUAAGUAAAGAACUGUUAUUCCUACUCCCAUAUCUUUGCCUGAGAGCCCCUUAAUUAUAAAAUUAUAAUAAUUUGGAGGGAAGAGGUUUACAUUUUCCAUUUCAAGGGAGGCUCCUGCCUUCCUCAGCAGACACCUGUCUUUUCAAACCAAGACAAUGAUUCAAAGGUGAGCUGGUUCAAGGUGCUAAAGUGUUGGAAAAUGAACUUUUAAAGAAGAUAAGUAGCUCAUUUGCAGAAGUUAACCAGUAGGGAAAGUGAAGAAAAGAGGAGUGGAAGACAGGAACAUUAAGACUGUGCUGUUGCAGUCUGACUACUCAUUUCACAGUUUAUGAAGUUUGCAGGCCUGUGAUGUGCCACAUUUGGUUUAGUUCCAUUUAACAACGGUCUACUGCAUCCAAAACUCAGCUGAAAUAUUUCACUGAUCAGUUUGGAAUAACACUUCCCCCACCAAGUCAUACCUUUUGUGGAUGUCUUGACUUUAAAUUACUACUCGGUUUUUUUACAAAACCAAGGCUGAUAUAUGAUGCCUUGGCCCUGAUGUUCAAACAAUAAACUGGACUGGUAAUUCUGUAGGUAGCACUAAGGCCCACCUUUUGUGGACCUGAGUUAAAGUUGUUGGGUCUUAGAAGCACAAAGCCACAGUCCAAGGUUAUGUUGAGUGCUUGCUGACAAGCAGAGCAGUCAUAAAAUAGAUGGAUACAAAGUACUUGAGAAUGUAAAUUUAUCAAGUAGGAAAUGCAUAGGAUUCCUCCCACUAAAGUUGAGUGUCCUUUACUGAGUUUCAGGAAAGGACUUUCUGAUUGCUAUUCAGUGAACAGACUACGUCAAAAGCACUUUCCUCAGGGAAGGAAUGAUGUACCGUAAGGAACAGAACAUCAGUUCUCUAUUAUGCUUACUGGGAGCUCAGGUAACAGAAGGUCUUGCCUUAUUUCUGCUAUGGAGUUACCCUGUAUUAGAGCACCUGCAGUCUGUGAGAUAGAGAUUCUAUUUUCAACUAAUCCCUUGAAAAGAACAAUUCUUAGUAAGUCAGCUAUCAAAAUAUCCCACUCACUGUGAAGACUUGAUACUUGGCAGAAACAAUCAAUCCAUAUUUAACAGAUAGAUUGUCACAAGAUGGCAGUGCAUAAAUAACGUUAAAUAAAAUAUACAGUAUGUUACUGUGUAUUGUAAUAGCUGCAUAAAGUCUACAGCCGAAUUCCUUUCAGAUUUUGAGAACAGAGAAAACUAAACUGAUGAACUUCUACACCUUGUUAGUGUGCAAUCCAUUUCCAGAGCUGAACAGAAGAGGAAGCAGAUUUAUGGGCUAGAAGGUACUAUCUAAGCUACAGAUUCCCAAAACCAGAUAAGCAUGAAGUUAUAUGGAAAAUGCUAAUGGCCCCAGAAAAGGAUCCUAUGAUGGGAAGUGUAUGUAAGAUGCCCUUAAGUAUUGCAAAAAAGAAAUGUAGGGAGUAGCUUCAUGGUCAGUGGUUGAAGCUAUGAGCAGUGGGAGAGGAGGGAGACUUCAAUUAUGAUAACAAACAUUUUUUGUGAACACAGGCACACAGAAAGUAAAAUACAGUAUCAGAGGGCCACAAGAUUAAAAAAAAACAACCAAAACAACCCAAACCACAAAAUGGGUUUACUGCUACUGCUGACUGAUCUGAUCUGCAGCGAAGAUGAUCUGUUGUUCUUGAGAGUAGUAACCCUGCAAGCACUUGACCCAAUAUUUAUGACAAAUGUAAUCUUUCACCACAAAUGCCCAACAGCUGCUCCUGUUUAAUAAAUCAGGGUUGUUGUACAGAAACACACCAAGAGCUGCUGCAUAAAUACAAACUGGUAUUAAGUUUCAGAAAGACAACUAUUAGUUGAACUAAUUGAGUUGUCCAGUGGCUCCAUCCAACCAGAUCACAGUAAAGACACAGCUUUUACACCAGACAAGUUGCUGGGGAAAAUUUUUAAAGUAGAGCCAAUGAGAGCUGCUGUAAAAGGUGGAUAGUAGCAUCUUUAGCAGUUUCAGCAUGUUUUCCACCUGUGAUGACAGAAGCUGUAAAUAGCCCUCUAAGGAGAGAAGGGAAUCUACAUGGUUGCUGUUCCUCUGUGACAAAAGAAAGAGAAACACGGUGUAAAGCAGUUAUUUUAUGUAAAAGGAGGUAAAAAUCAAAGUCUGAGAGACACAGAGCACAGUGCAAUACUGCUGCUGACCACCAUCAAGUCUUCAUACUGAUGGAAGAUGACACAUUAGCAAGAGCAGAACAGCUCCAGGGCUUGAGCAGCCUUACCAUGCCUGCAACAGCAGAAGUGGGCUUUCCUCUGAAGCUGUACCUCUCCACCAGUGCAGAAAAACCAGUUCCAACUGAUCCUCUCCUUGAGGUGGACAGCAGUCACCUAAAGCUCCCUGACAUGCUUUCAGGUCAACAUCCUGAAGACACAAAUAUAAUGGUUCUAUUACACAGCAUGCCAUCAAAAUU